AAACGUCUAGAGCCACAGCAUUCCUAGCUGGCUCUCCCCUUGAACACUAAGCAGAAGGCUGGGGCUGAGGGAGGCAGAGUAGAGGGGAAAGCAGCCUGGAGGAGAGGCAGGGACAGGGAGAGCCGAGGCUGGGGGUUAGGAGGAUGGCGGGCCAGGGGAAAAGUGUGGAGGUGGGAGGGCGACGUGGGCACAGGAACCUGCUUAAGGUGGAAGAAAGGUGACAUUUUAGGAGGCCGCUAUUAAAUCGCCAUAGCUGGGAGAGGAAUGAGUGCUAGAGACGAGGGACAAGGUGAGGAAAAAGUGUCACUCAGAGUAGGAGGAGAAGGCCAGGUAGGAAGAUUAAGAGAUGGUGGAAAAGAACUGGGAGUCAACAGAGGCUAGGCUGGAAGGGGUUGAAAUAUAAAUGCACACACAUAAUUGUACGAGUGAGGAAAAGAAGUUUUCAGCCUGAAGAUGUCUAAAGCCAGUGAAUGUCCAAGUGCUCGACUAUUUUGGAGGUGAGACAGGUAGCAAGGCAAGGAGAUAUCAACACAUGGGCAGAAAAGGAGAUAAGAAUUUAGUUUUCCAGCUUUAGCAGUGGGGAGUCUUGUUUUUUGCUUUUCCUACCAUGGAUGUAGUGCUGGUUUGGACAGUGGCCGACGUCCAAUCAGACAUCAGGACUGUAGGCCUUGUCAUAACGACAGCCAUGACAUCACUGCAAGGGCUAGCGGAAAGAAGACAGCGGAGCUCCAGACAGACAGCGGGGCUUCACGGGGCUGCACGCCGGACAAAGCGAGCCGGCUGCCGGGUAGAAACGGCGCGGACUAUCGGGGAUGGGGGAUCACGCGGAGGGUGCCGGUUGGACGUUUCUUGGGAGCUCUGUCCCGGACAAGUUUAAGCUUUCGCCGAGAAGCGGGAUGAAGAUAUGGAGGAGGCUGAGCGAUAUGGCAUCUUGUUUAAUUUCUGCCAAUCAAGACCUGAGGAAGACGACUCAAACUGGCAUGAUGUAACAGAAGAGUGAAGACACAAUCAAAAGACCAGAAAAUGCAUAAAGUGGAGGGAAAAUGGGAACUGAGGCGCAGCGGCUGCUGUAAUCUCCGCUGUUCAAUUAGCAGCGCUGACCGGGACGCCACCUACACUUCAUUAACAGGGAGGGGAAGGUGAAACAUCCAGCCAGUAGGAGUACAGGAGAUGGGAGUGGGAGAGAAUGAGAGCUUGCUGUCAGUAGUCUGAGCCAUUUCCAGGUGAAGCAAACUGAACUUAUCUGAACUGGAAUGACCUGAACUGAACUGAAACGAAAGCUUCCUCGGGACAGGACACACGGUUUUCUGAGGUUUUGG